UCAGACGAUGCGUCAUGCAUAUCAAUAAGCGGAGGAAAAGAAACUAACAAGGAUUCCCCUAGUAACGGCGAGUGAAGCGGGAAGAGCUCAAAUUUGAAAUCUUAAAGGGUUUCCCUUUACGAAUUGUAGUUUAAAGAAGUGGUUUCUGUUGAGGUUUUGGUAAAAGUUCUUUGGAAUAGGACAUCAUAGAGGGUGAGAAUCCCGUAUUUGACCUUUACUUUCAACUUUGUGAUACACUUUCAAAGAGUCGGAUCGUUUGGGAAUGCAGUCCAAAAUGGGUGGUAAAUUUCAUCUAAAGCUAAAUAUUGGCGAGAGACCGAUAGCGAACAAGUACCGUGAGGGAAAGAUGAAAAGAACUUUGAAAAGAGAGUUAAACAGUACGUGAAAUUGUCAAAAGGGAAGCGUUUGACACCAGUGUUGUUUUUCUGAAAAUCAAUUAAAGAACUGUUUAUGCUAAGUUGUUUAGACUUUAUCAGCUAUCUGUUUAGUUUUAGGCUUUUCUUUAAUGCACUUUUCAGUUAACAAGUCAACAUCAAUUUCUUUUGCUGUAAAAAAGCUUGAGGAAGGUGGCUUGAGAUUCGUCUUAAGUGUUUAUAGCCUCUUGCCUAUGCAGUCGGAGAGAUUGAGGUCUGCAGCGUAGAUCCUUCGGGGCUAAAUGCAUUUGUGCUAAGUUAUAGCAUUUUAUAGACAACUUGUUGACUAUGAUUUGUCUUGUAGCUUACUCGCUUAUGUUAUUUUACCUACGCUUAGGAUGUUGACACACGCGCGUGCUCG
rnacentral:rRNA from 1 species